AACGCGAAGAACCUUACCAGGUCUUGACAUCCCCCUGAAUAGUUUAGAGAUAAGCUAGGCCUUCGGGACAGGGGAGACAGGUGGUGCAUGGUUGUCGUCAGCUCGUGUCGUGAGAUGUUGGGUUAAGUCCCGCAACGAGCGCAACCCUUGAUGUUAGUUGCCAGCGAGUAAGGUCGGGCACUCUAACGUGACUGCCGGUGACAAACCGGAGGAAGGUGGGGAUGACGUCAAAUCAUCAUGCCCCUUAUGACCUGGGCUACACACGUACUACAAUGGCCGGUACAACGGGAAGCGAAGGAGCGAUCUGGAGCGAAUCCUUAGAAGCCGGUCUCAGUUCGGAUUGCAGGCUGCAACUCGCCUGCAUGAAGUCGGAAUUGCUAGUAAUCGCGGAUCAGCAUGCCGCGGUGAAUACGUUCCCGGGCCUUGUACACACCGACGCAC
rnacentral:rRNA from 1 species